AGUGAACGCUGGCGGUAGGCCUAACACAUGCAAGUCGAACGGCAGCACAGUAAUAGCUUGCUCUUACGGGUGGCGAGUGGCGGACGGGUGAGGAAUACAUCGGAAUCUACUUUUUCGUGGGGGAUAACGUAGGGAAACUUACGCUAAUACCGCAUACGACCUACGGGUGAAAGCAGGGGAUCUUCGGACCUUGCGCGAUUGAAUGAGCCGAUGUCGGAUUAGCUAGUUGGCGGGGUAAAGGCCCACCAAGGCGACGAUCCGUAGCUGGUCUGAGAGGAUGAUCAGCCACACUGGAACUGAGACACGGUCCGGACUCCUACGGGAGGCAGCAGUGGGGAAUAUUGGACAAUGGGCGCAAGCCUGAUCCAGCCAUACCGCGUGAGUGAAGAAGGCCUUCGGGUUGUAAAGCCCUUUUGUUGGGAAAGAAAGGCAGCAGGUUAAUACCCCGCUGUUCUGACGGUACCCAAAGAAUAAGCACCGGCUAACUUCGUG
rnacentral:rRNA from 1 species